UGGGGCGUGGCCAAGUGGUAAGGCACCGGGUUUUGGUCCCGCUAUUCGGAGGUUCGAAUCCUUCCGUCCCAG
rnacentral:tRNA from 5 species